UGAGGAAUAUUGGCCAAUGGACGGAAGUCUGAACCAGCCAAGUAGCGUGCAGGAUUGACGGCCCUAUGGGUUGUAAACUGCUUUUGUUGGGGAGUAAAGUGAGGCACGCGUGCCUUUUUGCAUUUACCCUUCGAAUAAGGACCGGCUAAUUCCGUGCCAGCAGCCGCGGUAAUACGGAAGGUCCAGGCGUUAUCCGAAUUUAUUGGGUUUAAAGGGAGUGUAGGCGGUCUGUUAAGCGUGUUGUGAGAUUUAGGUGCUCAACAUCUACCUUGCAGCGCGAACUGGCGGACUUGAGUGCACGCAACGUAUGCGGAAUUCAUGGUGUAGCGGUGAAAUGCUUAGAUAUCAUGACGAACUCCGAUUGCGAAGGCAGCGUACGGGAGUGUUACUGACGCUUAAGCUCGAAGGUGCGGGUAUCGAACAGGAUUAGAUACCCUGGUAGUCCGCACGGUAAACGAUGGAUGCCCGCUGUUAGCGCCUGGCGUUAGCGGCUAAGCGAAAGCAUUAAGCAUCCCACCUGGGGAGUACGCCGGCAACGGUG
rnacentral:rRNA from 1 species